UACGAAGGGGGCUAGCGUUGCUCGGAAUCACUGGGCGUAAAGCGCGCGUAGGCGGCUUUGCAAGUCGGGUGUGAAAUCCCCAGGCUUAACCUGGGAACUGCAUUCGAGACUGCAUUGCUAGAGUAUGGGAGAGGGAAGUGGAAUUUCAGGUGUAGCGGUGAAAUGCGUAGAUAUCGGGAGGAACACCUGCGGCGAAGGCGGCUUCCUAGACCACAACUGACGCUGAAACGCGAAAGCUAGGGGAGCAAACGGG
rnacentral:rRNA from 1 species